GGGGCCCGCACAAGCGGUGGAGCAUGUGGUUUAAUUCGAUGCAACGCGAAGAACCUUACCAUCCCUUGACAUCCAGUGAAUUUUCCAGAGAUGGAUUAGUGCCUUCGGGAACACUGAGACAGGUGCUGCAUGGCUGUCGUCAGCUCGUGUUGUGAGAUGUUGGGUUAAGUCCCGCAACGAGCGCAACCCUUAUCCUUAGUUGCCAGCACGUAAUGGUGGGAACUCUGGGGAGACUGCCGGUGAUAAACCGGAGGAAGGUGGGGACGACGUCAAGUCAUCAUGGCCCUUACGGGAUGGGCUACACACGUGCUACAAUGGCGCAUACAAAGGGCAGCAAGCCAGCGAUGGUUAGCGAAUCUCAUAAAGUGCGUCGUAGUCCGGAUUGGAGUCUGCAACUCGACUCCAUGAAGUCGGAAUCGCUAGUAAUCGUGGAUCAGAAUGCCACGGUGAAUACGUUCCCGGGCCUUGUACACACCGCCCGUCACACCAUGGGAGUGGGCUGCACCAGAAGUGGUUAGUUUAACCUUCGGGAGAACGAUCACCACGGUGUGGUUCAUGACUGGGG
rnacentral:rRNA from 1 species